AUUUUUAGCAUCAUGCAUAAUAGACUGGCCUCAUCCAGUGCAUUCACUGGACAAGCAUCUGCUCCCUAAAGCACCAUGUACUGUCAAUCCAUCACCAAGCCUACCCAGAGAGAUACACACAGUUAAGAGUUUAUUUCUGCCUGCAUUUCUUUUAGAAACAAACUGAGCUGCUCUGUUCCAUGUAACACUACAUGCUCUUGGACCUGGUGCAUGUUCUUCUCAGGGUCAACCACUGGAGCGCAAGAACCAACCCAAGUCAAACAAGCACAUUUAGGCUUAUAUCAUGUUCACCAACAUUCUACUGGUCAAUGCAAGCCGAUGUGUCCAUGCUCAACAUGGAUGGGGUGGAGAGGAAAGAGAGCUCUGAAAAGUAAUUCUCAAACUUUAAUAUGCAUCAGAUCCGUGCUAGAAGGCUUGCUAAACCAGACAGUGGGUGUCCCAGCACCAGAGUUUUGAUUCAGUAGGUUUGGAGUGGGGCCCGAUAAUUUGCAUUUCUAACAACCCCCCGGUGAUGCUGACACUGUUGGUCCAUGGACUACACUUUGAGACUCAUUGAUCUAAACUGUCACAGUAGGCAUCCAUGGAGACCAUACCAUGUCUAAGAGAAGCUGGAGGACAGAAGACUGUGAAUUGCAAAAGAAAAGAAAAACAAAAAUGAUUAGUCUUAUGAAUAGUCUCUAAGAGAAAAUACAAAAGGAUCUUGAUUUGAUUAGCCCAAUGCAGGGUAGAGAACUAAUAAUAGUCUUCAAGUAUGCACUGGGAUAUACACAGCUAUUUUUUCAGAGGACACUAAUUGAGUUAAAAUGCAUCAGAGAUAUUCAAGUUAGCCAAUGAGCAAGAACAGCCCAUUUGCAAGGCUGUGGACAUGGCAGAUCCACUAAAGAGACUUAGAGCAUCAGAAUUAGAUCAUUUAAAGCAUAAAGGUUUACCUUUAUAUCAUUAUAUGACUUUUGUCUUACCCUGAAGCAAAAUUGAAUCAUCUCUGAGGGUCACUUUUGGCCCUAUAAUUCUGUAAAAUGGGAUAUGAGAAUGGGAGAAAACACAGCAAGGAAGGAGACAGAGGAAGAGCCCCCAAGGAAUGGUGCCUUCUUCCUUGGCCAGUGUAUUUGAAGAUAGCACCAAUACAUUUUUCACAAACACAAACAUUUUCUAACUGUGCUGUCACCCCUAAAAUAUGAUGACUCUUACCCAGCAGGGAGUCAAUCUUUAGGGGGAGUUGGAAAAAGUGUAGGAAUGCAAACCACAAGAUCUGGCUCUGAGUCUAGAUUCUGCCACAUUUUCGUUGAUUGGUUAAUUAUCUUAAUCUUUCCGUUUCAGGAUUCUUGUCCAUAAGGUCGAAAUAAUAAUGUGAACAACACUGGGACAUUACAAGGAUCCACCCAGCUAAUAAAGAGGAAACAGCUUUGUAAACCAUAGAGUGCUAUUCAAUUGCCUGCUUUCUAGUGGUCUGAGAAACAGUGGCUGGGGAAGGUCCGUUCACCCCAAGUGCUCGGUGUUCCAAAGAGGGCUUCCCAAGCCAGAACUUCAAGGCUCAGUGGGAGGAUGGUUUGUAUUUUGGACCUCAGAUGAUAAAAGUUCAAUUCAGCUAAUUUGAUUCUCUGUUCAAGAUAUAAUAUGAAAAUCAGUUGGUACAAGGCCCUUCUCUUGUCUAAUUUCAUGAUUUUCCCUUUCACACCAUUCCCAAUCCCAUCCUCCCCUCGCCCACCCCACAAACUUUGGAAUAUGUCCUUGGUACACAUACAUCUUUGAAACAGAGAGGGCAUUUAUUUACUUAUGUGUAUGAGAUGCUGCACUUUGUAUCUUGCUCUGUGUUUUACUCAAGACUACGCUUUGUUUUGUUUUCUGUCUAUCCAUUUAACAUUAUGUUCCUCUAGUGACCACUAUACUGCUAAUUCUUUUUUAUUUAGAUUCUUGACAUAAGGUAAUAAACUUUUUAUUUUGCCUAUUAAGGACAUCAGACAAACAAAUGCCUACCAUCUACUUUUCCUAUCAUUUCAUCAAAAAAAGGAUAUUUUAGCACCGAAAAACUGGACAAGGCUAGAGAAUCUCAAGCUAAAGGAUAGUUUUUUAUGUUGAGUACAUCGGGACCAUCUAGAUUGGUGGGAAACCUCAUUCUUCUCAUUUGUGGAACAGUGACACUUCCAUCGUGGGCUGGAAAUGGGAAAACACCAGAGGUCAGCAAAAUUUUUCCAUACUGUGCCACAGAGUGAUUGUUUCAACUUUGUGAGUCCAGAGUUGGCCUCGUAAGCAUGAGAUUUGUGCAGUUGCACAAGGCCCCACACUUAGAAGUGCCCUUGCUUGCUUUAACAGUCUGCUGUUCCUGUUUUCAAAUUCUUAAUAAUUCAUGAACAGGAGGCCCUGAGUUUUCAUUUUGCACCGGGUCUCACUUCUAUGUAGGUCAGACGGCCUCUGUUAUAACUGCUCACCUCCACGGAAGGAGCACAAACACAGCCACGGACAACAGCAUAGCCCUCUCCCUGGUCUGGAGCGAGGUUAUUUACAUAUUCCAACCCUUUAGUCUCUCUGGGAACCUUCCAGAAUAUGGAUCAGAGGAAGUCAGAAGUCUGUGUGGACUGUCUCUCUUUUACUUCCCUUUCUUUUUGGAAACUUUUUUGGAUAGAAUUAACAACAGCUUUCAAUAAACCAGAUGUGAUCUCUCA